rnacentral:rRNA from 1 species
AACGCGAAGAACCUUACCUAGGCUCGAAAUGUAGGUGACAGUGUCAGAGAUGACAUCUUCCGAAAGGACACUUACAUAGGUGCUGCAUGGCUGUCGUCAGCUCGUGCCGUGAGGUGUUGGGUUAAGUCCCGCAACGAGCGCAACCCUUAUCGUUAUUUGCCAACAGUUAGGCUGGGAACUCUAACGAGACUGCCUUGGUUAACAAGGAGGAAGGUGAGGAUGACGUCAAGUCCGCAUGGCCUUUAUGUCUAGGGCUACACACGUGCUACAAUGGUCGGUACAGAAGGCAGCAAGACCGUAAGGUGGAGCGAAUCCGUAAAACCGAUCUCAGUUCAGAUUGCAGUCUGCAACUCGGCUGCAUGAAGUUGGAAUUGCUAGUAAUGACGUGUCAGCAACAACGUCGUGAAUACGUUCCCGGGCCUUGUACACACCGACAUA